UUCCCAGCAAUGUCACUAACUUGGAAGGUGGGCCUGGUCGGCAGACCACAAGCCCAAAUGUGUUGUGGCCAACACCUGGGCACCUUUCUCCUUUAGCGGUCCAUCGCCAGUUAUCACAUCUGUAUGCGGAACCUCAAAAGAGUCCCUGGUGUGAAGCAAGAUCGCUAGAACACACCUUACCUGUAAACAGAGAGACACUGAAAAGGAAGGUUAGUGGGAACCAUUGCGCCAGCCCUGUUACUGGUCCAGGUUCAAAGAGGGACGCUCACUUCUGCGCUGUCUGCAGCGAUUACGCAUCGGGAUAUCACUAUGGAGUCUGGUCGUGUGAAGGAUGUAAGGCCUUUUUUAAAAGAAGCAUUCAAGGACAUAAUGAUUAUAUUUGUCCAGCUACAAAUCAGUGUACAAUCGAUAAAAACCGGCGCAAGAGCUGCCAGGCCUGCCGACUUCGGAAGUGUUACGAAGUGGGAAUGGUGAAGUGUGGCUCCCGGAGAGAGAGAUGUGGGUACCGCCUUGUGCGGAGACAGAGAAGUGCCGACGAGCAGCUGCACUGUGCCGGCAAGGCCAAGAGAAGUGGCGGCCACGCGCCCCGAGUGCGGGAGCUGCUGCUGGACGCCCUGAGCCCCGAGCAGCUAGUGCUCACCCUCCUGGAGGCUGAGCCGCCCCAUGUGCUGAUCAGCCGCCCCAGUGCGCCCUUCACCGAGGCCUCCAUGAUGAUGUCCCUGACCAAGUUGGCCGACAAGGAGUUGGUACACAUGAUCAGCUGGGCCAAGAAGAUUCCCGGUAUGUACCCUCUGGUCACAGCGACCCAGGAUGCUGACAGCAGCCGGAAGCUGGCCCACUUGCUGAACGCCGUGACCGAUGCUUUGGUUUGGGUGAUUGCCAAGAGCGGCAUCUCCUCCCAGCAGCAAUCCAUGCGCCUGGCUAACCUCCUGAUGCUCCUGUCCCACGUCAGGCAUGCGAGUAACAAGGGCAUGGAACAUCUGCUCAACAUGAAGUGCAAAAAUGUGGUCCCAGUGUAUGACCUGCUGCUGGAGAUGCUGAAUGCCCACGUGCUUCGCGGGUGCAAGUCCUCCAUCACGGGGUCCGAGUGCAGCCCGGCAGAGGACAGUAAAAGCAAAGAGGGCUCCCAGAACCCACAGUCUCAGUGACGCCUGGCCCUGAGGUGAACUGGCCCACAGAGGUCACAGGCUGAAGCGUGAACUCCAGUGUGUCGGG
rnacentral:sRNA from 1 species